rnacentral:rRNA from 1 species
UACGUAGGGGGCUAGCGUUGUCCGGAUUUAUUGGGCGUAAAGAGCGUGUAGGCGGCCAGGUAGGUCCGUUGUGAAAACUCGAGGCUCAACCUCGAGACGUCGGCGGAAACCCUCUGGCUAGAGUCCGGAAGAGGAGAGUGGAAUUCCUGGUGUAGCGGUGAAAUGCGCAGAUAUCAGAAAGAACACCCGUGGCGAAGGCGGCUCUCUGGGACGGUACUGACGCUGAGACGCGAAAGCGUGGGGAGCAAACAGG